rnacentral:lncRNA from 1 species
CCCGUCAUCUAGGUUUUAAGCCCUGCAUGCAUUAGAUAUUUGCCCUGAUGCUCUCCCUCCCCCGACUCCCUGACAGGCCCCAUUGUGUGAUGUUCCUCUCCAUGUUUCCAUGUGUUCUCAUUGUUCAACUCCCACUUAUGAGUGAGAACAUGCAGUGUUUGCUUUUCUGUUCCUGUGUUAGUUUGCUAAGAAUGAUAGCUUCUGGCUUCAUCCAUGUCCCUGCAAAGGACAUGAACUCAUUCUUUUUUAUGGCUGCAUAGUAUUCCAUGGUCUGUAUGUGCCACAUUUUCUUUAUCCAAUCUAUCAUUGAUGGGCAUUUUUAGUAAUGGAAGUAUUCUAUUAUUUUUAAUUUUAUGUAUGUACAGACAAGAGCUAUAUGGGAAAGUAGCUAUUACAGACCCAUUAUAGUUUCAUCAUUUAUAACCAGGGUUGGUAGUAAAGCAACAGAAAUACAUCUUCAAUGCAGACUUGCUCCCAGCAUCUCUUUCCUUUCAUCCUUGACCAUAUUGCAUCCUGGACAGGAAGAAGACAUCCUCAGCCCACCACCCCUUCCCCUCCAAUGUGGACUGAGUGUUGGGUCAACUGAUAAGCAGUGCAGACUCUUCAUUUUGCUUUGUUGGUGCCUUGGAGGCAUGUGAGGGCACAGCCUCAAAUUCCAGAGACCUUGCCUUCAGGAUUUGAGGUGGGCAAAGAUGUGAAAGAAGACCUUUAGCCACUCAGUGUUAUCAAAAGCAAUCACCAAAGAAGUUUUUGCAUCUGGCAUUGUGUUGGGACGUCCAUCAGCAGUACCGUACGGUCUCUUUACUGGACAAGUAUUUACACCUUGUUAACAGCAGUGUACACCCGGUGGAAAACUCCUAUUCAUGGCAUGGCAGAAUUGUAAACAUUUCCUCCUUCACCAAAUUUGUGGAUGGAAUAAAAUGUAGCCUUAAACUUUAUUGGCUUCUCCAGUCUUCCACCUGCAGGGCCCAAAAACUUUCAGAAGUAGGAAUCCUGUGGCAUCUGCUAAUGGUGAUUGGAAGAAAGAGUAGAGGUGACAGUAUCUAUGGGUGCAGUACCAGAACUAUUACGAAAUGCUUCCAGCUGCGAUUUCAGAGGAAUCCCCCCUGAACCCCUGGACGUGGUUCUCCUAUUUCAGUCACACUUCUAGCUAUGACUCUGCUUAGACAAGAUGAAGUUGAUGGAUCCAUUAGAAAGUUUCCACUGAACUUGUCUGGUCCAAUUUCUCUUUCCUCAAGGGCAUGGACACAGCUUUGGUUCUCCUUCCUGAACUUACUUGUCUGCUGCUCCCAUUCUUCCCAUUAGGGCAUAGAAGAUUACCUAGCAGGUGAAGGCACCCUACACUCUUUGGUUUUUAAUAGGAGAAACCCUCCAGUCAGAGAUAAAUCUUACUUGGAGUCUAGGUAGCUAUAAGUCUGAAGUGUCAGUACGACAUUUCAGCACUUUCAGUAGGAGCUCCCAAGGGCCAAAUAAAUCACAGAACCAGCCUUUGAGAUAUUGACUUUGGCUUGAAAUAGAAUGUGAGGUGGUGAUUCUGCUCUAUUAUACCAGAGGCCAAGUUUUUUCUGAAGUAGCCAUAGCCAGGUGAGGGUGGCCUUCUGGAGGAGUAAGGUUUGAGAGAACUAUGUUGGAAGUCAUUAAGAGAAAGAGCCUAUUCCCCAGCUGCUUCCUGCUCAGAAGCAAGGGCCCUGGUGGUUGGUACAAGAUAAAGCUAAGCAUGAAGGCUCUUCUCUUGAUAAUCUAGAUCGCCCCAAAACAACUGAGUCUAUAAAGAACCCAGAUUAUGUCAUGUGCCAAUCUGUCACACACCGGAAUGUAUAUCUCAUGAUUCAAUAAUUUCUGUUGUGUAUACAAUUGUGAUGUGCAUGUCAA